CUACGGGAGGCACCAGGUACGAAAACUUUCCAAUAGCUUAACGGCUGAGAAGGGAAGCCUGAGUGACUAUGCACUGCAUAGUCUUUUGUCUUGUCUAGAAAGCAAGAUGAAUAAGUGGUGGGUAAGACGGGUGGCAGCCGCCGCGGUAAUACCCGCGCCACGAAUGGUGACCGCUAUUAUUGGGUCUAAAGCGUCCGUAGCCGGUUAAACAAGUUCUUGGUUAAAUCCAACAGUUAACUGUUGGCUUGCUGAGAAUACUGUUUGACUUGGGAUUGGGAAAGGAGAAAGGUACUCCACGUGUAGGGGUUAAAUCCUUUAAUCCGUGGAGGACCACCGGUGGCGAAGGCGUCUCUCUGGAACAAGUCCGACGGUGAGGGACGAAAGCUAGGGGAGCAAAUCUAAUCCUUCGAUAAAAGGAUG
rnacentral:rRNA from 1 species